GUCUGCGGCCGUACCACCCUGAACGCGCCUGAUCUCGUCUGAUCUCGGAAGCUAAGCAGGGUCGGGCCUGGUUAGUACUUGGAUGGGAGAAAUGUUGAUCAGAGGGUCAAAGUUU
rnacentral:rRNA from 1 species